rnacentral:misc_RNA from 1 species
UUUUGACUUUGUAGGAGGAGCCAUUUUCCAAAUGGAUAUACAGCCAUACAGCUUCACACUGCUAAAGAAAGAUAAAGGAGAAGUAGAGAGGCAAGAGGCAAGCAACAUAUUUGAAGAGUAGAAAUGGGAUUCAGAUAUGGAAUUAGCAUUUCACUGGUUGUGUUUCUUCUCUUCACCAAUGUUUGCUUCAUAACACUAGCUGAAUCACAUUGCAAAGCAUGGCUCGUCCAAUCAAUCCCCACCGACAUGCCCCACCUCCGUCGCGUCCCAGGGGUUCUCUCCACCGGUGAUGUGCUCCGUUGGUUGGCUGGUAAUUCCACCAAGAAAUUGGAUAUUAUAGCUCAGUACUGGCAGUUAAUUGCACAUCCUGAUGAUCCUCUUUCUGGGGAUUAUGGAUAUUCGAGAGAUGAUAUGAAAAAGUUCGGAGCUUUUGAAGGUUCUGCCGUUUACAGAGCCAUAGAGGAUGCCGCCGAUCGUAAUGCUAGCAUCAGAUUACUACAGCACUCGGGUGUAUAUCCUGACUACACCAAAGAACCUACUCAACUUGCUUCGGGAAGGCCAAAUGUAAAGAAUGUGACCUUGUUACUUGGGGAAUGGUGGGGAUCAGGUAUAGUUCAUGCCAAGGUUUGGAUAUCUGAUAAUCGAGAUGUGUAUAUUGGAUCUGCAAAUAAUGAUUGGAAAUCUCUCACUCAGGUUAAGGAGGUUGGAAUUUAUCUGGUUGGAUGCCGAAAAAUAGUGAAAAGGGUUGAUACUUAUUUUAAUAACCUAUGGAAACUUGCCCAUCUUAAUUCAUCAGCUUACACUAGAACAGUAUGGGAUCAACAGUGGCAGAUUGAAAGAACAGUUCCAUGCUGGUCACAUUUCAUUGACUCUAAAGCAAGGUGCAGGUCUCCUCUUCCUCAUUUUGUGGAGGUUCCCCAUAUUGCAGGCUAUCCUAUAUUAUCAGACCCGCAUAUGUUUAAAAUUCCAAUUGAAACUCCUGAUCACAAUUUUUCAACUUUGCAGCCUCAACUGAGCUAUCUAUCUUUUGCUCCUCCUGAGGUAAUUGACUAAAUUUUUCCUUUUGCAGUGCUGGUGUUCUAUCACUAUCAGAAUUGUCCCACCAAAUCAAUUGUUAAUUUCAUGUCUUUUGUAGCAUAUAUAGCCUUAUCAUAUGGAUUAGAACCAUUUGGAACAACAAUAAUAUAGAAAGUGAGAAACUGUUUGUCAAAACAAAAAAUACCUACUCUCUCUCUCCCUAAAAAAACUUUUAUGAUCGUUAGAUGCUUCAUGACAGAAAAAUUGUUUGUGAAAGCUCUCGGAUUUUUUGGGUGAUAUAGGCAGCAACAGAUUGAGAUUUCAAUGAAGUUUGAUUGAAAUUUUAUUCAUACCUUCUCCAGUUCUCAUGAUUAUUUCUGGAUCUCUGGAAUUUAUUUGGCUUUUGGAAGCAUGUUUCUGGCUUUAUAGAGUGAAAUUCGGUUGCAUAGCUUCAGUCAAAAUAUGGGUAUCUCCCAAAAUGAUGAAAUGUAGAUGCCUCUAGCUUUUCAUGAUUCACUUCUUUUGAUGCCAUAUUUGGUUAGCAGCUAUUGUUUGGCAAGUACCAGGCUGAUGAACAGGCAUGGAUUGAUACAAUAAAAUCUGUUGGAAGUGGAGCAGUAGUAAGGAUUAAUAUUAUGGAUUGGCUUGGCCAAUCCCAAUAUACAAAGCAAAAGGUUUACUGGUCAUCUCUUUCCUCAGCAAUAUCAGAGGUUGUCUUCUCCAAGCAUGCGACAGUUAAGAUACUGGUAGCAUACUGGGCACAUUUCAUCGACAACACAGAUCAGUAUCUGAAGUCUCUCCUCUAUUCCAAUGUCCUGUGUUCUUCUUCCAAGUAUAACAAAUGUUCUGGUAAAGUAGAGAUCAAAUACUAUGUGGUUCCAGGUUACAACCUGACUGGACCUGCAAAGAGCAACAAGACUAGUACAGGAAACAUAUACCCAGCAUUUACCAGGGUCAAUCAUGGAAAAUAUGCAGUUACUGAUGCGAGAGCUCACAUUGGAACAAGCAACCUUGUGUGGGAUUAUUUCUAUGCAACAGCUGGUGUCAGCUUUGGUACAUAUAAUCCUGCCAUUGUUUUACAACUUCAAGAGAUCUUCGAUGCUGACUGGAAUUCACCAUAUGCUGUUCCAGUGGAAGGGCUGGAGACAGGCCAUUCUUUUUCAAGCUGAUUAGAUUGGCUUGAAUAAGCACAUAAUUUGUUGAGAAGUGUUACAAAUUCCAGCGUACACAAAAGAGCCGAUGACAUUAGUCUCUAAUUGAUCAUCUUAAGUAUAAAGGCAAGCUGCUUUUCCUCUCGCUUUUUCAGCUGUGUCUAAUUCUUUUCCUCUUCCUUGGUUGUUGGGAUUUAAUGUAUUCAUCUGGACCUUCUCAAGUUCUCAAUACCAAAAAAUAGUUGUUGGUUUUCCCUGAAGAAAUAAAGAGAAACGGUUUUGUGUAUAUUAUGGAAAAAUAUUCAUCUCUGUUAAUAACAAUAAGAAAGUCAAUUUCCAC